AUGGAUGGGACUUUCCGGUUUUCAGGUUCCCCCAUCAGUAGUUACGGUUGGAACUGGAUCCGGCAGCCUCCUGGAAAAGGGCUGGAGUGGAUGGCAAACAUAGAUGGAAACAGUGGUAGCACAUACUACAGCCCAUCCCUCAAGAGCCGCAUCACCAUUUCCAAGGACAACUCCAAGGCCCAGUUCUCCCUACAGCUGCGCUCUCUGACAGCCGCAGACACCGCCACAUGGGAACGCUGUGAGCUGAACCGGCAGCCCCCAGGGAAAGGUCUGCAAUGGCUGUGCCUCCUCUCCUGGGAUGAUGACAAGUCUUACCAGGACACUCUGAAGUCCCGCCUGACCAGCUCCAAGGACACAUCCAAGAAGGAGGUGUAUGUGGAGUUGAGAGGCCUGGAAGCCAGAGACAGCGACACCUACUACUGUGCCAGAGCACAGAGACACGGCCAUGGGCCCCCGUACAAAUACUAG